AACUUGCCCAAAACCCCUGUGACAUACCUAUACGUUGCCUCGGCGGAUCAGCCCGCGCCCCGUAAAAAGGGACGGCCCGCCCGAGGACCCCUAAACUCUGUUUUUAGUGGAACUUCUGAGUAAAACAAACAAAUAAAUCAAAACUUUCAACAACGGAUCUCUUGGUUCUGGCAUCGAUGAAGAACGCAGCAAAAUGCGAUAAGUAAUGUGAAUUGCAGAAUUCAGUGAAUCAUCGAAUCUUUGAACGCACAUUGCGCCCGCCAGUAUUCUGGCGGGCAUGCCUGUUCGAGCGUCAUUUCAACCCUCAAGCUCAGCUUGGUGUUGGGACUCGCGGUAACCCGCGUUCCCCAAAUCGAUUGGCGGUCACGUCGAGCUUCCAUAGCGUAGUAAUCAUACACCUCGUUACUGGUAAUCGUCGCGGCCACGCCGUAAAACCCCAACUUCUGAAUGUUGACCUCGGAUCAGGUAGGAAUACCCGCUGAACUUAAGCAUAUCAAUAAGCGGAGGAAA
rnacentral:rRNA from 1 species